UAGGGAAUCUUCGGCAAUGGGGGGAACCCUGACCGAGCAACGCCGCGUGAGUGAAGAAGGUUUUCGGCUCGUAAAGCUCUGUUGUUAAGGAAGAACGAGUGUGAGAAUGGAAAGUUCAUACUGUGACGGUACUUAACCAGAAAGGGACGGCUAACUACGUGCCAGCAGCCGCGGUAAUACGUAGGUCCCGAGCGUUGUCCGGAUUUAUUGGGCGUAAAGCGAGCGCAGGCGGUUAGAUAAGUCUGAAGUUAAAGGCAGUGGCUCAACCAUUGUAGGCUUUGGAAACUGUUUAACUUGAGUGCAGAAGGGGAGAGUGGAAUUCCAUGUGUAGCGGUGAAAUGCGUAGAUAUAUGGAGGAACACCGGUGGCGAAAGCGGCUCUCUGGUCUGUAACUGACGCUGAGGCUCGAAAGCGUGGGGGGCGAACAGG
rnacentral:rRNA from 1 species